GACGAACGCUGGCGGCGUGCCUAACACAUGCAAGUCGAGCGGAGAGGAGAAAGCUUGCUUUCGAAUCUGAGCGGCGGACGGGUGAGUAACGCGUGGGUAACCUGCCUUAUACAGGGGGAUAACAGUUAGAAAUGGCUGCUAAUACCGCAUAAGCGCACAGGACCGCAUGGUCUGGUGUGAAAAACUCCGGUGGUAUAAGAUGGACCCGCGUCUGAUUAGCUAGUUGGUGGGGUAACGGCCCACCAAGGCGACGAUCAGUAGCCGGCCUGAGAGGGUGAACGGCCACAUUGGGACUGAGACACGGCCCAG
rnacentral:rRNA from 1 species